ensembl:lncRNA
GUUUCAGCUUCAGAUGGGCGGGGCUUAGGCCACUCUCUGAUACAAAAGUCGAGUGUACCGGUGGAAAAAGUGAGACUCACACGAACCUGUGCUUUCAGACAGACAGAGACAUGGACUAGACCUGGUUUAGCGAAGGAUCCAAAGACUAGUUAUGCUGUAGGUUGAUUUAGUCCUGGUUUAGUUCUGUCUUAGUCCUGGGGUAGGACUUAGCUUAGUCCUAGUUUAAACAUGGUUUAGUUCAGAUUCAGACCUUCUUUAGUCCUGGUUUAGUUCUUAGUUUAGUCCUUUUACAGACCUGGUUUAAUCCUGGUAUAUUUCUUUGUUUAGUACUGAUUUAGCCCUGGUUCAGAUCUGGUUUGGUCCUGGUUUAGCCCUUGUUUAGUCCUGGUUUACUUUAGAUUCAGACCUGACUUAGUCCCUGGUUAUUACCGGUUCAGAUCUGGUUUAGUCCUGGUUCAGACCUGGUUUAGUCCUGCUUCAAACCUAGUUCAGCCACCCAGUAUGCGGUCACAGCGUACCCAGGGAAGUGCCAGUGUGGCUGGGGCCGUUCUGCUGGUUCUUCUGUUGGUUGUGGAGGCAGCGGCGUCUCCCAGCGACGAGCAGCUGGAGCCGGGGCCCGAUCCGGACAUGGGGGACGAGAUCCUGUCCUCAGGUUCCAGACUUUCUCCUCGGGGCUCGUGGCUCAUUUUCAGAAGAAUCUCAAGCGAAGAAGCAAAACGCAGCAGCAAGAACCCGAAGAGAAGCUCCAAGCAUGGCCCCCCCGGCCCCCCAGGGCCCCCUGGACCUCAGGGCCCCCCCGGC